AUAGUCUCGGUAAAAAUUUCAUUCUAAAGUCGGAUUUCGGGUUUGAGGAACCGUUUUUACACUUCCGUGGUAAAUUAUAUUUUGUUAAAUGUAACAAACUGUAACGUUAACUUAGUUGCUGUCUUCCUUGUUUGCCAAAUGAAUGUCGGAGGCUCGGAGCCGUCGCAUUUGACAUUUUCAGCACACCGUCACAUCUCACUCGACGUGGAGAAGCUGGCAGAGGAAUUGUCAAGAAAAGAAGAUACCAUUACGACUUUUUUUUUUAUUCUUUAAAAGAGAUUAUACGACUAGGUGAAGAUCUGACAUCGCGGAAUUCUUCAAGGAUAACGCAACUUUUCUGCCAAACGAGGUCAUAAUUGCUGCUGUAUUGUGCAUCCCAAGUACCCCCUGCAUUCGUAUCAAGGAUUGCUGUCAUUCAAGAACUUAUUUCCUCCCCAUUGUGGCUGAGCUACACAUUCUCUUCAUUUUAUUUUAAACAUAAAACAUCCAGAGGAGAUGGCACCUACGUUGGAAUUCAUACAAAUUCUUCCUGUGAAGAAAUCCUGAACGAGGGUCGACGGUUCAGAUGAAGGGAACCUAUGCUUCCAAGACUCAUGUAUGAACAACUUCGAGAAUCCAUGUACAAUUUGAGCUUUUUUCAAAUCUCAACAUGGAACUUGGACUGAACAUGCAGCAAAAAAAAAAAAAAAAAAGUAGUUUCCCCAAGCUGGCACAUGGCAAGCGAUACUAAAAGCACACAAACACUUGGAGCCCUGCUCUUAAUUUAGAUUGUAUAGUUCUCUUAGUUUCACAUUGAAAUGUUAGGCAUGAGUGCAUGAAUCUUUGUUCUUUAUUUUCAAAUGAUGUACAAGAAAGUUUUUUUUUGCAGUACCAUGUCAAUUGUAGAUGACAGAAUUCACAUUUUUGAUGUGAACUGUCCUUUUAAAUAACAUUUCACUUAACUAUUGACUAGAAGUCUGUAGCAAUUGUUAUUAAUGACAGCCCUGGCUUUGUAUUAAUUUUUUCCCAUGUAUCUGAAAAUGUUUUGAGUCUUGACUGUUUCACAGUGAAGUUUAUCUUUGUGACCACUAUUUGGUGCAACACCAAUAUUGUACAAGUAGCUGCUCAUGUUUUCCUUUUUCUG